rnacentral:rRNA from 1 species
CCCAGACUCCUACGGGAGGCAGCAGUGGGGAAUAUUGCACAAUGGGGGAAACCCUGAUGCAGCGACGCCGCGUGAGUGAAGAAGUAUUUCGGUAUGUAAAGCUCUAUCAGCAGGGAAGAUGAUGACGGUACCUGAGUAAGAAGCCCCGGCUAACUACGUGCCAGCAGCCGCGGUAAUACGUAGGGGGCAAGCGUUAUCCGGAUUUACUGGGUGUAAAGGGAGCGUAGACGGCAUGGCAAGUCUGAAGUGAAAGCCCGGGGCUCAACCGCGGGACUGCUUUGGAAACUGUUAAGCUGGAGUGCAGGAGAGGUAAGUGGAAUUCCUAGUGUAGCGGUGAAAUGCGUAGAUAUUAGGAGGAACACCAGUGGCGAAGGCGGCUUACUGGACUGUAACUGACGUUGAGGCUCGAAAGCGUGGGGAGCAAACAGGAUUAGAUACCCGAGUACGA